rnacentral:rRNA from 1 species
AGUGAACGCUGGCGGUAGGCCUAACACAUGCAAGUCGAACGGCAGCACAGUAAGAUCUUUCUCUUACCGUUGGCGAGUGGCGGACGGGUGAGGCAUACAUCAGCAUCUUCUUUUUCGUGGAUGAUUACGUGGGGCCGCUGACACUACUACCUCAUACGACGUACGGCUGAAUUCAGUGGAUCUUCGCGCCUUUCCCGACUCAAUUAGCCGAGGUCGGGCUAGCUAGUUGGCUGGGUAAAGGCCCACCAAGGCGACGAACCGUAGCGGGUCUGAGAGGAUGAUCAGCCACACUGGAACUGAGACACGGUCCAGACUCCUACGGGAGGCAGCAGUGGGGAAUAUUGGACAAUGGGCGCAAGCCUGACCCAGCCAUACCGCGUGAGUGAAGAAGGCCUUCGGGUUGUAAAGCCCUUUUGUUGGGAAAGAAAAGCAGCAGGUUAAAACCCCGCUGUUCCGACGGUACCCAAAGAAUAAGCACCGGCUAACUUCGUG